AAAAAACUUUAGUUGUAUAAUGUUCCCCAUCUUUCCCUGUCUGUAUAGAAGUCAAUAUUCCAGCGGGGCACGGUGGCUCAUGCCUGUAAUCCCAGCACUUUGGGAGGCCAAAGCAGGUGGAUCACAAGGUCAGGAGUUUGAGACCAGCCUGGCCAAAAUGGUGAAACCCCGUCUCUACUAAACAUACAAAAAUUAGCCUGACAUGGUGGCACAUGCCUGUAAUCCUAGCUACUCAAGGGCUGAGGCAAAAGAAUUGCUUGAACCCAGGAGGUAGAGGUUGCAGGGAGCUGAGACUGCACCACUGCACUACAGCCUGGGCAACAGAGGGAGACUCUGUCUCAGGAAAAAAAAAAAAAAAAAGUCAACAUUCCAGGAGGCCUUCUACAUUGAAUUAUGCCCCAAGGUAGCCCUCCAGCAUAUACCAUCCCCUUCCCUUAUUAUGCGUACUCUCCAGCCACCCUAUGGACCCAAUCCUAGAAGCUGAAAUAACCGAAUCUUUUUUUUGUUUUGUUUUUUGUUUUUUUGAGAGACAGGGUCUCAGUGGCGCAAUCACAGCUCACUGCAACCUCAACGUCCUGGGCUCAAGUGAUCAUCCCACCUCAGCCUCCCACCUGUAGCUGGAACCACAGGCAUACACCACCACACCCAGCUAAUUUUUAAAUUUAUUGUAGAGACGGGGUUUCACUAUGUUGCCAGGCUGAUCUUGAACUUCUGGACUAAAGUGAUCUUCCCACCUCAGGAAGGAGCCCAGUUUAUUUGUAUUUUUUUUUUUUUUUUGAGACGGAGUUUCGCUUUUCUUGCCCAGGCUGGAGUGCAAUGGCGCAAUCUCAGCUCACUGCAACCUCCGCUUCCCGGGUUCACGUGAUUCUCCUGCCUCAGCCUCCCGAGUAGCUGCGAUUACAGGCAUGUGCCACCAUGCCCGGCUAAUUUUGUAUUUUUAGUAGAGACGGGGUUUCUCCGUAUUGGUCAGGCUGGUCUCGAACUCCCGAACUCAGGUGAUCCGCCCGCCUCAGCCUCCCAAAGUGCUGGGAUUACAUGCAUGAGCCACGGCGCCUGGCCAGGAAAGAGCCCAAUCUUAAAACCCUUUGGCCCUCAGAAAACCUGAGCCCAUCAGCCUGUCACUUUUUCCUUUUCCUGACUCCCAGAGAUUCAGGACCUGAGUGAAAACCAAUGUCCCAGCACCACUGCCUUGCUGCCCUAACCCCAGGCCAAGGACAACGUCACCCUCUGCUCAUGUACCUUUUUUGCAUGGGUCCAAGACCUAUGGAAGUGGGAUAAGUUGAAAAGAAACUGGGACUUCCUUGUAGAAAGGGCCCUUUACUAACCAGUAGUGAGUGGGAUGAACCUCAUGCCAUCUCUGCAUUACCCUUCUCAUCUCAUUUCCCUAGAGGAAGGCCUGGCCAGAUGGCUCUCCCCUUCUCUAGGAUCCAAGGGACUGGAGAACUGGCACAAAGAAAUGAGUUCAGGGAAGGCAAGAGCUUGCCUCAGGGAAUUACGAUGCCCCUGCUCCUGGGCAGAGCACCGGGGACGCAGACAAGUCUUCCGCUAGCUCCUGGCUGCCUCUGUAGACCCACUAGCAUUCUACAUUUAACUCUCCUCAUAUUAGGACUGGAGUUUUCGGCAUCAAAGACAUCAGGUCCUGUCAAAAGCUCCCUGUCACCUUUGAAUCGUGGAUCCUUUGGGAUUCCCCAAAUCCUGAGUGAGAAAGUUCACCUUCCAGGACUUUCCAUGCUCCUCCGGCAAGGACAAUAUGGGCAAAGUGCUAAGAUUUUGGACUACGAGGUUUGGCGAUGCCAGUGCUCUCAGGACAGGAAGGGCACAGGUCUUGAACCUUGAAGAUGAAGAGAGAUGGAGCAGGUGCUAAUCACCAGGCCUCUUCCAGAGCAGCUGGAGGACUCUGCCUUUGUAUGUGGUGUUUCUUCAACUUGGAAUGCCCUGCCUCCCGUUCUCCAACUGGCAAGCCUAGUAUUUUUUCAGGACUCUGCAAAGCCUUCCCUGACUGCCCCUGCAACACAAGGCAGAUGUGGUACCCUCACUGUGCCUCCGCAGCAGUACACAGGUUUAUCAGCGCUCUCCCCACGCGUGGUAGUCAGCUGUUCCUGGUCUGCCCCUCCCAUUAGACUGUGAGCUCUUAGAGGGAGGGGCUGUGCACCAUGGCUUAUUUAUCUUUGUGUAUUCCCAGCACCUACCUCUGUAAAUGUUAAAAAUAAUAGCUAUCAUUUACUGAUCAUCACCAUACUGUAAUUUCUAUACAUAAUAUCUAACAUAGAUACAUUAUUUCACUUC